UACAUGGGGUGCAAACGUUGCUCGGAUUUAUUGGGCGUAAAGAGCUCGUAGGCGGCUUGUCGCGUCGACUGUGAAAUCCCGCGGCUCAACCGCGGGUCUGCAGUCGAUACGGGCAGGCUAGAGUUCGGUAGGGGAGACUGGAAUUCCUGGUGUAGCGGUGAAAUGCGCAGAUAUCAGGAGGAACACCGAUGGCGAAGGCAGGUCUCUGGGCCGAUACUGACGCUGAGGAGCGAAAGCGUGGGGAGCGAACAGG
rnacentral:rRNA from 1 species